GCAAAGGACAACUUGCUUUGCUCGUCACCUCCCAGGGCUCCUCCAAGCCUCACUUUCUUUGAUGUUCUGCACUCCUUCAACAAACACCCAACUGCAAAGUUGCAUUUUGAAGUAUUUAAAAUUCAGUAUUUUGGUUCAAUUUCGCUUUAGAAAGGGGGUUGAUACUGCUUAGGAUCUAUCUGGAACAUGCAAUCUAUCUAUCUGUCUGAGGACACAUUUCAUUACCGGCAUGAGUGGUUAUGUACAACUGCCUGCCCCCAAACCAGCCCACCAAUGCUGCUUUACAGCUCUUCACUGCAUUCCUAAUCAAGAGGAAAAAUAAUGGAUUUACUGCUCCAAAAUCAACUUCCUCUGGAGUCUUGUUCAAGCAUUAAUGCCCAUGAGGAGGAGCAGUGCCUCUGAAGUAUCCAGCUGUCCCCAGGAAGCCCUACAGAGCACAUGUCCAGUUACCAACUUAACCUGCAGCCACACGCACGCGUCAAAACAACUGCUGCUUUCCAGACUUCACCUGAAGAUUCCAAGUCUGAGGAAUUUCAGAAGACAAACCAAAGCCAGGCAUCAGCAACUGUGCUUUAAGUGAAGCCUUUACAAACAGUGCUUCAUGCUGGACACCCAUGACUCCAGAAACAGCUUUUCCAUUUCAACCAACAUUCCAGAAAGCUGCCUGUCUGCCCUCCCUCCCUUCCUCCCCAGCUCACUUUGCAUGGCUCUGCAGGCCCAAGCCUCACCUCCAGGUACACACUGGUACUUCCUGAAGGAGAACAGGGCACCCGUGGCUCAGAGCAGCACAACCUGACACCUCAUAACAGACUGAACAUCAGCGAUACCACUGCUUGCAACAAGAUCAUGCUGCAUUUCUUCCCUGCUGCUACAGGCUGGCUCCUUCCUGUAGCUGAGGAGCAGGAGUGGACUCGAGGCCUUCCUUGAGGGAUGACACAUUGCCCCUGGGAAACUUACAGCCACCUGGGGGUCACUUCCAUGACACCACUACCAGCAACUACUAAGCAGUUCACAGGACCUGAUAAGCACUAAUUUGGCUGUCUGGAGUCACGAGCUCUGAAGACACCAUCCACACCAACUGGAAGAGCCCUAUCCUCUUGUAUCCAGUUACAAUUCCCAGAAGGAAGCCACCAGAGCAGGAACAGCCUUCACAGCCCUUUGAGCUGUGCAGGUGAAAUGAUCUCAAACUCCAUGCUGGAUGCCAAGCCAGUUCCUCCACAGAGACAAUUCCUCCUCCCUGUCCCAACAGACCUGCCAGGCUCCUGCCUGUUACUCCAGCAGCCCAAAGAUCCCCUUCUCCUAAGUUACUCCUUUUUUCCAGGUUACUUGCCAGCAAAGUACUGCACAGCCACGUUCCUCCUACUCCUGCAAGCUGACAACAUACUUCUCUCCAUCAUCCUGGCUUGCAUGUAGGUGGAAUGAGAUCUGAGAUAAAAUAUUGUAUCCUCUAUUUCAGAAGCCUGGGCAGGCUCCAUUUCUGUCUCCUCCAGCUGCAGAUGGCCAUUUUU